rnacentral:miRNA from 1 species
UUAGAGUGCACUGUCUCAAACU